rnacentral:rRNA from 1 species
AUUGAACGCUGGCGGCAUGCCUUACACAUGCAAGUCGAACGGUAACGGGUCCUUCGGGAUGCCGACGAGUGGCGAACGGGUGAGUAAUAUAUCGGAACGUGCCCAGUAGUGGGGGAUAACUGCUCGAAAGAGCAGCUAAUACCGCAUACGACCUGAGGGUGAAAGGGGGGGAUCGCAAGACCUUCCGCUAUUGGAGCGGCCGAUAUCAGAUUAGCUAGUUGGUGGGGUAAAGGCCUACCAAGGCAACGAUCUGUAGUUGGUCUGAGAGGACGACCAGCCACACUGGGACUGAGACACGGCCCAGACUCCUACGGGAGGCAGCAGUGGGGAAUUUUGGACAAUGGGCGCAAGCCUGAUCCAGCAAUGCCGCGUGCAGGAAGAAGGCCUUCGGGUUGUAAACUGCUUUUGUCAGGGAAGAAAUCUUCUGGGCUAAUACCCCGGGAGGAUGACGGUACCUGAAGAAUAAGCACCGGCUAACUACGUGCCAGCCGCCGCGGUAA